rnacentral:lncRNA from 1 species
GAACUUCUGCAUGCUGCAGGCAUGGCCAAACAAAACAAAAUACAAAAGUCCAACCAUAUGCUCUUUAUGAGAGAGACAUCUAAAACAUACGGAUACCAGUAGAUUGAAAUAAUGGAAUUAAGUUACGCCGUGGUAGGUAUUAUUACAUAAAACUUAAGGCAGAAUGCAUUACUAAGAGUAAAGGUCAUUGUAUAAUAAAAAUUCCCAAUCACCAGAAGUAUCUACUAAUUCUAGAUUCUACUUACGACUUCAAAACACAUGAAGCAAAAAUUGAUCAUCUACAAGGAGAAAUAUAUAAAUGUACAAUCACGGCGAGAGAUUUUAACACAUUAAAAUCCCGAGGGCAAUCCUUACCUCGUGCAGGAUGAGAACCAAGCAGUAGAAAAAUAAUCACCACGUCACCCUCAAGUGGUGAUUCUACAUGGCUCUUCAGACAGUCCCCAGAAAAGUAAAGCCCAUUUCCUCUCAGCAGAGAUCAGCUCAGUAGAACAUUGAAUUGGAUUGUCUUCCUUCCUUGUCUUGCUCUCCCCAGACCCCGUUCUUUUUCCCUUGGACUCAUCCCAGAGUAAAUUCUUGCAUGCAAAGUACUUCUCUCAACCCUGCUACUUUGUGGACCCAGGCUAAGACACUUGGUGAUACAAGCAGUUCUACAAACAAACCGUCCAAAUGGAUUCUAGUAUUGGACCAACUGGAUCCAGUAAGGAUCCCAGUCAUGUUGGUAAAUGGGGUGACAUUAACCCUUGGCACGCAGCAGCAUCACAGUUGCUGAGGUUUUCACCAGCAGUGAAUUGGAAUGGUGAAUUCGGAAGAUGAGGCAUUGCUUUAUGUAGUGGCAAUUCAUAAAAAAAUACGUGGUCAAUGUUAAUUAUAGGGAAUGUAGAGCUGGCUGACUCUGGUUGCUGGUCUUUAGAAGUCUUGUGAGAGGAGAGGAAAAUGGCAGCUUGAUUGGCCAACUGUCAACCUCAAGGAAUGCUGUGCAACUGGGAAAGUUUCCAGGACAACAGAGAAAUGUCCCUCUCCCCCCAACAGCCCUAGGAAGAUAGUUGCCAUUCAUCCUAGGCUUUAAUUGUGAGUACAGCUUGGUUACCAAGGAGAACACAGCCUUAAGGAGACUCUGAGGUCAGUGUCAGGGCCCAGCUAAGGAAACAGCAGACCUUGAGACAUGGGGUAAGGGUAUUUGAAUGGACAAAUCUGAGACCCUUGAACCCCACAUUCCUCUGAUCCCAGGAACUGUCCCUCCUCCUUCCUGGAGAGGAAUGGUCUUCCCUGGCUGCAGACACUGCGAAGACACCACUAGAGGCAGGAGCUUCACAAGGUGGGGUUCGUCCUAAGAUCUGCCUCUACCUCCUUUGUUUCCUCCAGACCAGCCGUCAAGUCAGGCGCAGCCCAAGCAAGAUGAUCCAGCUCCUCCUUUCGGGAGAUACCGUGUGUACUCAAAGGCUCGAAAGUGUUGGUUAACAGGCGCUAAAGGUGAACCAGAGACCUCAUGUUGGACUGGGUCUUAAGGAGCAGCCAAGGAAAGAUGCCUCCUUGUGUUUCAGUUUCUUCAACUGUCAAAUCUGAUUACGAGUGCCUGUCCAACCUACUUUAUAUACUUAUUAGAGUAAAUGAAGAAAUUAAUAUUAUAGUGAACUCUGCUAGGGACUAUACUAGGCACUUCACAUAAAUUAUUUAAUUAGGAUAAAAUUGGGCAAGUGUAAACACUUAAUCUAGUUCUAAACUUGUUUAGAACACAAACACAACAUUGUAAUCAACUACACACCAAUACAUUUUUUAAAAGAAGACUUAAAUGUGUUAUUUUUAAUAGCAUGCCCUAGGAAAAAUGCAGAUUUGUGAAACCUUGUUGCCUAAAAGGAAAGAAGAAAAGGAAGCCGGUGUUUCAAAAACUCAGACAUAUUAGAAUAUGGCAUUGAGUAAGCUGUUGUCUUGUUUGGGGGAAGGUGGACCAUCUGAAGAGGGCUUUAGGGACAGUUCUAGUCAUUGACCUUGGGAGAAGCAGGGUAGGAACAGUGCUGCUGCGGAAGCUGAGAGAGCAGUUCUGUGUCCAGUGGAGCACAGUGAACUCCUGGGUGGCACCUGUGGUGUCUUGGGUAACGCAUGGCCUCCCACCCAGACUGCCUCGGUUGGAAUCCCAGCUCUGGCGCUCAGCCCACUGGGGGAUAUUGGACAGGUAGUUACAAAACUCCAUUUUAUGGAGUUCCCUGGUGGCACAGCAGGUGAAGAAUUUGACCUUGGUAGUGCUGCAGCUCAGGUCACUGGUGUGGCAUGGGUUCCACCUCUGGCCUGGGAACUUCCGUAUGCCGGGGACACGG